ACAUUUCACUUCAAAGAUCAUCCAAAACAUCUCAGAUGCCUUACAGAUCCCCUGGAAACUCCAUACUCCAUGGCGACCACAAGCUAGUGGUGUAGUAGAACGUACAAAUCAGACCCUCAAGCAUCAUCUAUCAAAGAUCUGCCAAAAGGCCUCUCUGCGAUGGCCCGAUGCUUUGCCCCUUGCUCUGCUUCGCAUCCGUGCCCUCCCCAAAGAAAGAUUAAAGCUUAGCCCCUUUGAGAUUAUGUUUGGAAGGACAUGGCCUAUGAAAAGGACCUCACACUGUCCUACUAGUUUCCCACACAGCGGCAAAGGUCGACGGACACAAGAACUGGAUUCAUCACGAGACAGAUUUGGCAUAAUCCUUCUCCCGUUGUAUAGAGUGGGCCGGUUAGCCAAGCUAUAUCGUCAACUUUCUGUGUUUCUUACAAAAUUUGCUAAUGACACCUUAACUAUUAAAAAGAGCCUUAAUUCUAAGAUUUACCAACUUCGGUUGUUAUCCCUUCAGAAUAGACAAGCGCUAGACUAUGUCUUAGCUUCUCAAGGUGGAGUAUGUGCUCUAAUUAAGAAAUAAUGUUGUACUUAUAUUCCAGAAAAUUCACAAGAUAUUAACAAACACAUGUUGUCAGCCAAACAGGCUUUUGAGCAGUGGAAAAGUCAGGAACAUAAACCCACUGUUUUCGAUUCUCUCUCAAGCUGGUUGCCCAAACUCGGAGGCCUAGGAAUGGGCAUCCUUCACCUCCUGGUCACCAGUGUUGUGUUGUGUUUAAUUACCCUCCUCUUAUUUGCAUGCUGUAAUGCCCUCCUGCGCAAAGUCUGUGUAUCCCCCUCCCCGAGCGCUUCACUAUACCCCUGCAUUGAAGAUCCCAGUUCCCAACCACUUAAUCGUCUUUUAUCUUCAGAAUAUGAAAAAACUCAGCCAAAACUUUGUUGAGUAUUCUCAAAGGGGGGAGUUGUUGGUGUCACUGGGCAUAACCUUAGGUAACUCAGAGGGAUGAAAGACCAUGAGUGUCGAUAAAGCCCCUCUGCUCUAGGCCCAGGCGAGCCAGGCCCCCCCUUCCUGAACCUUUGUAACCCUUUCUUUGAACUUUUUGUAACCUCCUGUAAUACUAGAAAGACAGGAUGAGUAGCAGGCAAGCUGAAACUCCCUAAAACUGUUAUCUGUAGAAUGCAAGGGUACCGCUCAGAGAGAGAAGGGAGGAGGAAAGGGGGUGGGGGGGGUGGAAGCCAACUAGUGAAAAACUACUGCAGAAAGUGACCAGGGUAUAAAUAUACACUGUUGCAGGGCUAGGGGAGCAGGAUUUGAGACAAUACAGUCUCCCUGCGCCUUUUACUUGAGCUCAAAUAAACUCUGUCUACUUUUCCCCCCA
rnacentral:lncRNA from 1 species